AAGUCGAGCGGACUUGACGGAAGCUUGCUUCCGUUCAAGUUAGCGGCGGACGGGUGAGUAACACGUGGGUAACCUGCCUGUAAGACUGGGAUAACUCCGGGAAACCGGGGCUAAUACCGGAUAUUCUUUUUCUUCGCAUGAAGAAGAAUGGAAAGGCGGCUUUUAGCUGUCACUUACAGAUGGACCCGCGGCGCAUUAGCUAGUUGGUGAGGUAACGGCUCACCAAGGCAACGAUGCGUAGCCGACCUGAGAGGGUGAUCGGCCACACUGGGACUGAGACACGGCCCAGACUCCUACGGGAGGCAGCAGUAGGGAAUCUUCCGCAAUGGACGAAAGUCUGACGGAGCAACGCCGCGUGAGUGAAGAAGGUUUUCGGAUCGUAAAGCUCUGUUGUCAGGGAAGAACAAGUACGGAAGUAACUGUCCGUACCUUGACGGUACCUGACCAGAAAGCCACGGCUAACUACGUGCCAGCAGCCGCGGUAAUACGUAGGUGGCAAGCGUUGUCCGGAAUUAUUGGGCGUAAAGCGCGCGCAGGCGGCUUCUUAAGUCUGAUGUGAAAGCCCACGGCUCAACCGUGGAGGGUCAUUGGAAACUGGGAGGCUUGAGUGCAGAAGAGGAGAGCGGAAUUCCACGUGUAGCGGUGAAAUGCGUAGAGAUGUGGAGGAACACCAGUGGCGAAGGCGGCUCUCUGGUCUGUAACUGACGCUGAGGCGCGAAAGCGUGGGGAGCGAACAGGAUUAGAUACCCUGGUAGUCCACGCCGUAGACGAUGAGUGCUAAGU
rnacentral:rRNA from 1 species